rnacentral:rRNA from 1 species
AAUAAGUUAAAACUUUCAACAACGGAUCUCUUGGUUCUGGCAUCGAUGAAGAACGCAGCGAAAUGCGAUAAGUAAUGUGAAUUGCAGAAUUCAGUGAAUCAUCGAAUCUUUGAACGCACAUUGCGCCCAGUGGUAUUCCACUGGGCAUGCCUGUUCGAGCGUUAUUAAGUCCAAAUUAAGCACUGCUUAGCGUUGGA